GAGAGAAGGGCGCUGUCUCGUUGCGCUCUUGUUCCGAUAUAAACCUCCGUUCUAACUGCAUCAUCUCGCUGUGAAACCUGCUCUGUGUCUCCAGGGAUCUCUGCUCCGCCGUGAGGAAGAACCAGCUGAACAUGUCUUCUGUGGAUGGAGAGGAGGACAGAUCAGAGUCUGAGGACAGAGAGAAGAAGAGCAGUGAUGUCUGUGAGGAGCAGCCAGAAAGAUCCAGAAGCGUCGCU